rnacentral:pre_miRNA from 1 species
GAACUACUCCCUCUGUUUGGAAUUACUUGUCUCGGAAAUGGAUGUAUGUAAAACUAAAAUACGUCUAGAUACAUCCAUUUCUGCGACAAGUAAUUCCGAACGGAGGGAGUACUAG